rnacentral:rRNA from 1 species
GUUAGGAAUAUUGGACAAUGGGCGCAAGCCUGAUCCAGCCAUGCCGCGUGAGUGAUGAAGGCCUUCGGGUUGUAAAGCUCUUUAGCCGAUGAUUAUAAUGACUGUAGUCGGAAAAUAAGCCCCGGCUAACUUCGUGCCAGCAGCCGCGGUAAUACGAAGGGGGCGAGCGUUAUUCGGAAUCACUGGGCGUAAAGCGUGCGUAGGCGGCUUUGCAAGUUGGGAGUGAAAGCCAAGGGCUCAACCCUGGAAUUGCUCUCAAAACUGCAAGGCUCGAAUUCGGGAGAGGAUAGCGGAAUUGUCAGUGUAGCAGUGAAAUGCGUAGAUAUUGACAGGAACACCAGUGGCGUAAGCGGCUAUCUGGACGAGUAUUGACGCUGGGGCACGAAAGCGUGGGGAUCAAACAGGAUUAGAAACCCGGGUAGUCC